rnacentral:rRNA from 1 species
UAGGGAAUCUUCCGCAAUGGACGCAAGUCUGACGGAGCAACGCCGCGUGAGUGAAGAAGGAUUUCGGUUCGUAAAACUCUGUUGUUAGAGAAGAACAGCGCAUAGAGUAACUGUUAUGCGUGUGACGGUAUCUAACCAGAAAGCCACGGCUAACUACGUGCCAGCAGCCGCGGUAAUACGUAGGUGGCAAGCGUUGUCCGGAUUUAUUGGGCGUAAAGCGAGCGCAGGCGGUCAAUUAAGUCUGAUGUGAAAGCCCCCGGCUCAACCGGGGAGGGUCAUUGGAAACUGGUUGACUGGAGUGCAGAAGAGGAGGGUGGAAUUCCAUGUGUAGCGGUGAAAUGCGUAGAUAUAUGGAGGAACACCAGUGGCGAAGGCGACUCUCUGGUCUGUAACUGACGCUGAGGCUCGAAAGCGUGGGUAGCAAACAGG